GUGUAGGUCAAAUAUGUCUUUAAGUAGGGGUAAAUUACUUUUAAAAAAAUGAGUCUUAGAUAGUUUUUCUUCAAGUCAAAUAUCUCAC
rnacentral:pre_miRNA from 1 species